UGGGGAAUAUUGGACAAUGGGGGCAACCCUGAUCCAGCAAUGCCGCGUGAGUGAUGAAGGCCUUCGGGUUGUAAAGCUCUUUUGCCAGGGACGAUGAUGACGGUACCUGGAGAAUAAGCCCCGGCUAACUUCGUGCCAGCAGCCGCGGUAAUACGAAGGGGGCAAGCGUUGUUCGGAAUUACUGGGCGUAAAGGGCGCGUAGGCGGCCGAUCAAGUCAGGCGUGAAAUUCCCGGGCUCAACCUGGGGCUGCGCUUGAUACUGAUUGGCUUGAAUGCGGGAGAGGAUAGUGGAAUUCCCAGUGUAGAGGUGAAAUUCGUAGAUAUUCGGAGGAACACCAGUGGCGAAGGCGGCUCACUGGCUCGAUACUGACGCUGAGGUGCGAAAGCGUGGGGAGCAAACAGGAUUAGAUACCC
rnacentral:rRNA from 1 species